UGUGCAUAGAGAAUUGCUAUGCUGUGGAGAGUUUCUCACCUGUUAAUGAUAUGUCAAGGAUUUUUUUGGUUUUAGCUUCUUAAUAUUUUUUGAUAUUUCAGUUUGCUUACUGCCCCCUCUAUCUGCCUAGUCAUAUUUGUUUCAAGCACUAUAUUCCAGAAAGUUCAGUUGUUUAUUUCUUAAUUCAGGCCCCUUCCAUGAAGAGCCACAAUAUUUGGUCUCCAGUUGAACGGACAGAAGAGAGUGGCUGAUAAUUUGGCAUCACGUACUCAGCUCCUUAAGAUUGAAAGACAAGGAUGGAGAGAAGAGUGGAGCUCCCAUAAUCCAAGGAGAACCUGCUACACCACCUAGGCAUACACAAGUCAAUGGAACUGGAUGGGAUCCACCCAAGGGUGCUGAGGGAGCUGGCAGAAGUGUUCACAGAGCCAUUUUCCAUCAGUUAUCAUCUGUCCUGGCUUACCAGCAAGGUCCCAGCUGCAAGCUGGCAAAUAUAAUACCCAUCUGCAAAAGUCAGAAAGAAGAUCUGGUGAACUGACAGGCCUGUCAGCCUGACCUUGGUGCCACGGAAGGUGAUGGAGCAGAUCAUCUUCAUGCCAUCACACAGCCCAUACAAGACAACCAGGAGAAAUGACUCAUAUCGAAUUAUGGAACUUGCAUAUCAAAUCAGAACGACCAGAUCUGGGGAAAUCAGAAGACAUAGCCACUGCUAAGACUUCUGUAUAAACCAAGAGACUGAGCAGGCUGUUUCAUCUUAAAAACAGUAACGAUUCACCAUGUAAAAAUCACAACAGAAACAGUUUUCACCCUAGGAAUAGUGGAAUGAAUCCUGACUUUUCAAGUUUCCCUUUGUGCCUAUCUAGGAUAAAACACAGAACUCCACAUUCACAGAGCAACAGGACAGAACUUCUAAAGGUAUUUAUUUCCAAUAAGUGGAAAAAUACAUUUGUUUUGAUAUUGUUAAAUUGCUUCAGUAGAGUAAAAAAAUUCUCCCUGAUCAGUUUGAAAUAUUGAAUAUAUAUAUCAGAUCUAAAAUGUUAAUACAGAAUAAAAUACAAAUGUUAAAAGGAUAAAUUUGGAAGACAAAAGCAGAAAUGAAUUAUUUUAUUUUGAUAUUAGUCACUGAAAUGUUUCUCUUAAAAAUCAUUAAAAUCAACAUGUUCUUAUGAAAUAUUUAAAAGAACAUCCUUCUGAAAACAAUUUUUUAUCAAGUUUAUGCAGAAAAUAAUGCUUUUCCAUUGUUUUUAUCAUAAAUUCAUGAAAGACCUUGCUGAUGGUAUAUUUGUUGCUAAUGGGAAGAGCCAGUUUGACUCUUGAGAACAGGAGGUCCUCCCCACAAAGUAAACAGGUAAUAGGAUUGUGUAGCCACCUUCAAAAGUUUUCUUCUAUGUAUGGGGAUGUUUUAAUACUGGACCAACAAAUAGUUCAAAGUUCAGUUGCUAUAAUUAGGGAAAGAUCUAUGUAAUCCCAGUGUCUUCUCCUUCUAAAUGCAGUCUGCAGGGACUAUAAGGGGGCUCCAGUAAAAGUGUGUAUAUAUUGUGGGUGCUACAGGGGCAACAUGAAAUGAAAUAAAAAAACAAAACAAAACACCUAAGUGGGAAAAAAAUUACUCCCUAGCUCAGGUGAAAGGCAAAGUUUUUUAUGUUAAACUGUUCUCCCACUGAGUCACCAAAUGGAGUUACCAAAUGGACAGACUUCAUAUGCAGAAACCAUUUAAACUGACUGAAAUUUUACAGCUGGUCAGUAAGGUGAACUGAGGGAUUGAGAAAGCUGGUUCAUCUCUAAAACAACAAUGCCCUGUCAUCUGAGGAGGUCAGCCAGCACAAUACAGAACAAGGUCUUGGAACACUUCAUGCAGGUUUGCUUUCACUUGUCCUUUUCAGCAUCAGAGAAUAGCUGGUAUCCAUUUGUGCUGAGUCAGUUUCCAGUGCCUCUGCAUUAUGAAACACUUCCUCAGCUACCCAGCUUCUUCCACCCACUUUUAGAUGCACAGACUGAGCUUUCCAAAAUUCUUCCUUGUUGUCACACUGAAUUGUGAGCAUCAGAAGCACAGGCCUGAGCAACUCAUAUGUACACAUAAUAACAGUGGUUCUAGAUACUGUAUUCAGUGUAAUAAUAGUGUUGAUUGCUGAUACUGGCUCAGUUGACACUGUAUGUUGCCAAAAUUUGUUGUCACACCAGAAACAGGAAGAGAAAAAUUGGGAAGAGGUGUGAAGAAGGAACCUUCUGUCCAAAUUCAAAUCACAUAAUGCUAUUAUCAGUGGGGAAUAACAGUGAGAGACUAAAUGGAUCUGCUUUGGGUGGCUGCUAAGGCAGAAAUGACCAGAGAGGGAUGUUGGGCUGCAUUUCUCUGAAUGGAGCUGCUUCUGCAGCUCACAUUCCCUAAGUUAUCGCCCAUGAUAGUGAAGACAUGGUGGCCUGGUCCCACUCUCCUGAUUCACAUUGUUCUCACAUGCAGCCCUAUUUUGACUGCAUAAAUAGGGAGGAAUUUCCAAUUCCAUGGAGAUACUACAAGUUUAGUCAUGAAGAUAAUUAAGUCCUUUGGGCUUGAAAUACCCAAAUAUUUCAUACUUGAAAGAAAUUCAGAUAUGGCUCUAAAGGUCUGGACUACUGCCAUCUAAACAAUUUGGAUUCAUUAGAGGUUUAAGAUUCGCUCCAAAUUCCUCUUCACAUCAAUUAAUCAUUCACAUAUUUACUCUUCUUAUCACUAGUGUUAUAGAAUGGCUAGAAAUUCUGAGAAAGACACUACAUAGCCUAGUUCUGCUGACACACAAAAGCCAGCAUCAGUCUUAAAAAUGUCAAAUCUAAUAAGGAAAGAUUGGGGGAAAAAAAACGAGGUGGAAAGAAGUUUUAUUAUUGACAUCCUUUUCCAAAAGAUAAUAGAAACAGUAGCUUGUCCAAAACACCUCACAGAAUAUCAGUGGUAGAGCUGAGGAAGGGCUCUAUGAUUGUUGCCUGUCUCCCAAGGCAGCAGGAGACUUAGUCAGAAAUUGCCUUACCCCAUAUUUUGCAGCAAAAAUUAUUUCUUACUGUUAUUGCUCACUGCAGUUAAAUGAAAAGAUAUCUAGCCUUUCCAGAAUUUUUAGAAUAAAAAACUUUAGAAUUUUUAGAAUAAACAAACUUGUUUAUUUUUAGAAUAAACAAACUCAGAUAAAUAUAGUACCUGUAAAUAAUGGACAGUACUGGAAUGCUAGCUCAGGUCCUAAGGAACUUAGAGAAAUGUAGGUACCUUCUAGUACUGCUCUGGUGGUCAGACAAAAGGGACCUUGAUACAGAAAUAGGGACACUUGCUUGAACUCAGGCUUAAAUGUCUAUAGAUCUUUGAAACUAGAUAGAAAGGCAGAUAAAGAGCUGCAUUUUUCUCCAGGAUCAGAGAGCCUCUGGGAAGUAUCUGUCCAACCCAUAGUUUUAUCUAAGUUUGUAAUUUCACAUAUAUUUCUAAGUAAAAUAAGUGGGACUCAUUAUUAGGGCUUUUUAUUGAAUUUGUGAGUUUAUUUUUAAUUACUAAAUAUCAAUCAUUUACAUUUACCAAAAAUUUACCUGAUACUAACACCACCUUGAUUAAAUCUUGCUUUCUAUUUUGUUCUUUUGUCACUAAGAAUUCUGAAAAUCAGAUGAAGACUCUGAAAGUAGAACUGCUACAAUGGCAAAUAUGUUUAAAAUCUUCACUUUCUUUCCUGAGGUCUGACUUUUGUGUCUGUAAGUGUGUGUGUCAGUUAAGGGGAGGGUGGAGGGUUCAACAUAACCUGCGGUAAAUUUUAUCAAAUGAAUUUUAAUUAACAGCUCUGAUGAGAUAACAAGAGAGAUUGAACCUCACCUCCCAAAACUGUAUUAGUUUGCUUUUGUUGCUGCUGUUGUAAAAAAAUCUUGUUUUGCUGACACUUCGGAAAUGAUUAUGACAAGUAAAAAGAUACUGUCUUUGCAAGGGCAAUUUUGGACUAAAUUUAAUCUGUUUUAAAAAGCUGAGGUGAAACAGUAAAGGAAAAAAAAAAACCCCAUCAAAAUCCUGAUGAAGAAUCUGCACUGAAUUUGACUUAUUUUGAAACUUUUAUUAGUGCAGUACCUGAAAUAGAGCACAAAGAUCUUCCUCAAGGCACUGCAGAAGUGAGGAGAUAACUUAAGACAUAAAAUGCAGCAAAACAGAACAUAAUUGUCAUGGGGCGGGGGUGAAGAGUGUGGGGUGGGAGGCGGGUAAGGAAAAAAAUUAAAUUCCUUCACCAAAAAUUCAGUAAAAAACCCUGAUAGAGGUUAACUGUCUUGUGGCAAGCACAUUCCUAAUGCUGGAUGCAGGAUAUUCCCAUCCUGCAGUGGAAGGUCCUUAUUAAAAAAGGAGAACGGAUGAGAGAUGCAAAUUAUGGUUUAUAUGCACAUAAGUACUUAAAAUAAAAGUUCUUCCAGCUUGAUA